GAUGAACGCUGGCGGCGUGCCUAAUACAUGCAAGUCGAGCGAUCAGACGAGGAGCUUGCUCCUCUGACGUUAGCGGCGGACGGGUGAGUAACACGUGGAUAACCUACCUAUAAGACUGGGAUAACUUCGGGAAACCGGAGCUAAUACCGGAUAAUAUAUUGAACCGCAUGGUUCAAUAGUGAAAGACGGUUUUGCUGUCACUUAUAGAUGGAUCCGCGCCGCAUUAGCUAGUUGGUAAGGUAACGGCUUACCAAGGCAACGAUGCGUAGCCGACCUGAGAGAGUGAUCGGCCACACUGGAACUGAGACACGGUCCAGACUCCUACGGGAGGCAGCAGUAGGGAAUCUUCCGCAAUGGGCGAAAGCCUGACGGAGCAACGCCGCGUGAGUGAUGAAGGUCUUCGGAUCGUAAAACUCUGUUAUUAGGGAAGAACAAAUGUGUAAGUAACUAUGCACGUCUUGACGGUACCUAAUCAGAAAGCCACGGCUAACUACGUG
rnacentral:rRNA from 1 species